rnacentral:rRNA from 1 species
CUACGGGUCGCUGCAGUGGGGAAUAUUGGACAAUGGGGGAAACCCUGAUCCAGCAAUGCCGCGUGUGUGAAGAAGGCCUGCGGGUUGUAAAGCACUUUCGGUUGGGAGGACUGCUUCUAGCACUAAUAUUGUUGGAAGUUGACGUUACCUUCAGAAGAAGCACCGGCUAACUCCGUGCCAGCAGCCGCGGUAAUACGGAGGGUGCAUGCGUUAAUCGGAAUUACUGGGCGUAAAGCGCGCGUAGGCGGCUAGAUCAGUCGGGUGUGAAAGCCCCGGGCUUAACCUGGGAACUGCAUCCGAUACUGUCUAGCUUGAGUACAGGAGAGGAGAGUGGAAUUCCACAUGUAGCGGUGAAAUGCGUAGAUAUGUGGAGGAACACCAAUGGCGAAGGCAGCUCUCUGGCCUGAUACUGAAGCUGAGGUGCGAAAGCGUGGGGAGCAAACAGGAUUAGAUACCCCAGUAGUC